rnacentral:rRNA from 1 species
GCUUGCUCCCCUGAGACCGGCGCACGGGUGCGUAACGCGUAUGCAACCUACCUCGUACAGGGGGAUAGCCCAGGGAAACUUGGAUUAAUACCCCAUGGUACCGUUUACCGACCUCGGUUCACGGUUAAAGAUUCAUCGGUACGAGAUGGGCAUGCGUCCCAUUAGCUAGUUGGUAUGGUAACGGCAUACCAAGGCUACGAUGGGUAGGGGCCCUGAGAGGGGGAUCCCCCACACUGGUACUGAGACACGGACCAGACUCCUACGGGAGGCAGCAGUGAGGAAUAUUGGACAAUGGGCGGAAGCCUGAUCCAGCCAUGCCGCGUGCAGGAAGACUGCCCUAUGGGUUGUAAACUGCUUUUAUACGGGAAGAAACACCCCCACGCGUUGGGGGCUUGACGGUACCGUAGGAAUAAGCAUCGGCUAACUCCGUGCCAGCAGCCGCGGUAAUACGGAGGAUGCAAGCGUUAUCCGGAAUCAUUGGGUUUAAAGGGUCCGUAGGUGGAUGAUUAAGUCAGGGGUGAAAUCCCACGGCUCAACCGUGGAAUUGCCCUUGAUACUGGUUGUCUUGAGUCGUUGUGAAGUGGUUGGAAUAUGUAGUGUAGCGGUGAAAUGCAUAGAUAUUACAUAGAACACCGAUUGCGAAGGCAGAUCACUAACAACGCAC